AUAUCAAUAAGCGGAGGAAAAGAAACCAACAGGGAUUGCCUCAGUAACGGCGAGUGAAGCGGCAACAGCUCAAAUUUGAAAUCUGGCCCUCCCGGGGUCCGAGUUGUAAUUUGCAGAGGGCGUUUCGGGCGACGCGGCGGUCUAAGUCCCUUGGAACGGGGCGUCAUAGAGGGUGAGAAUCCCGUAUGUGACCGGUGGCCGAGCCCAUGCGAAACCCCUUCGACGAGUCGAGUUGUUUGGGAAUGCAGCUCAAAACGGGUGGUAAAUUUCAUCUAAAGCUAAAUACCGGCCAGAGACCGAUAGCGCACAAGUAGAGUGAUCGAAAGAUGAAAAGCACUUUGGAAAGAGAGUCAAAAAGUACGUGAAAUUGUUGAAAGGGAAGCGCUUGCAACCAGACCUGCCCGCGGGUGUUCCACCGUCCUUCGGGGCGGCGUACUCGCCCGCGAUCAGGCCAGCAUCGGCUCGGGCGGCCGGAUAAAGGCCCUGGGAACGUAGCUCCUUUCGGGGAGUGUUAUAGCCCAAGGUGCAAUGCGGCCCGCCCGGACCGAGGACCGCGCUUUCGGCGAGGAUGCUGGCGUAAUGGUUGUAAGCGGCCCGUCUUGAAACACGGACCAAGGAGUCUACCAACUUUGCGAGUGUUUGGGCGUCAACCCACACGCGCAAUGAAAGUGAACGGAGGUGGGAACCCCUUCGCGGGGGCGCACCAUCGACCGAUCCAGAUGUUUUCGGAUGGAUUUGAGUACGAGCAUAGCUGGUCGGACCCGAAAGAUGAUGAACUAUGCCUGAAUAGGGUGAAGCCAGAGGAAACUCUGGUGGAGGCUCGCAGCGGUUCUGACGUGCAAAUCGAUCGUCAAAUUUGGGCAUAGGGGCGAAAGUGAGUUGAACCAAAAGACCCUGUGGGCUCAUGGGACGUAAGCUAAUCGGCUGGAUAGGACUAAUCGAAUCAUCUAGUAGCUGGUUCCAGCCGAAGUUUCCCUCAGGAUAGCAGUAACGUUUUCAGUUUUAUGAGGUAAAGCGAAUGAUUAGAGGCCUUGGGGAUGCAACAUCCUUAACCUAUUCUCAAACUUUAAAUAUGUAAGAAGUCCUCGUUACUUCGUUGAACGUGGACAUUUGAAUGCACCGUUACUAGUGGGCCAUUUUUGGUAAGCAGAACUGGCGAUGCGGGAUGAACCGAACGCGAGGUUAAGGUGCCGGAAUGCACGCUCAUCAGACACCACAAAAGAUGUCAGUUCAUCUAGACAGCCGGACGGUGGCCAUGGAAGUCGGAACCCGCUAAGGAGUGUGUAACAACUCACCGGCCGAAUGAACUGGCUCUGAAAAUGGAUGGCGCUCAAGCGUGCUACCUAUACCUCGCCGCCGGGGUAGAAACGAUGCCCCGGCGAGUAGGCUGGCGUGGGGGUC
rnacentral:rRNA from 1 species